CUCAGACAGCCAGCUGAGCAGACUGGGCUUUUCCGGGAAGGCGGGCCAAGAGCUGAGACAGAGCGCUUCAGGCAGAGGAGCUGCAGCAUUGGGCAGUAUGAGAAACACAGUGUGUUUUUU